GCCAGGUGGCAGAGUGGUUCAAUGCGAUAGAUUAGAAAUCUAUCUCCUUCGAAGGUGCCCGUUCGAAUCAGGCCCUGUGGUA